GUCCAUCAUCUUCAGCGUUUGACGUGACGAUUAUGUAUAAACUAUUGCGAAACUACGGACCAAAUGUUAAGGAUCCACUGGUAGGCUGGGGGAACAAACCAGAGGUAGGAAAGAAAAGUGAAACGGAUGAUGUCGAACGAAUACGAUAUUACAGAAACAUGGUGGUACAUCAAACAGACAAAACAAUGGAGCAGGAGGAACUGGAUAUUUUCUGGAAGGAUUUAUCUCAGGCAAUAAUGAGACUCAGCAAUGGAACUUUGGAAAAAGAAAUUCAAGCUUUGAAGAUGUAGAAAUAAGGUUCGUGAGAAACGGAUAUGUUUCACAAACAUCAAUGAUUCAAAACGGGAUGCAUCCUUGUGCAGAGAGAGAACUUAUUGAUAUCUGAAAUGAAACAAUUCACGAUGUCAAACUGAAAUAAGAAAUUCGUGUAUUAUUUUACUCCAUUAGCGCAGCCUUCGUUCUAUGAACAGUUUACAUGAAUUUUCAUAACGUUUUGAAAUUUCUAAAGAUAUCUUCAUUGUAGAUAAUCCUUUCUACAGUUAUAUUUUUGGAAGGAUAUUUUAUUUAUUAUUUGCACCAUUUGCAAUGAAAUUAGGUAAAAAAUAUAUACCAAUCCAAGCAUCCAUUUUUAGUUUAUAUCAUCUGUCCUAAAUCGUAGACCUUUUCGACCACAAAUGUUAAAUUGUCAAUUAAGGAAAGAAUGAAUAAGCAGAUAAGCAAGUCAACUAUGAAUGCAAUGAUUUAUGACAUUCAGCGUUUUACAGCAUUGUGACGCUGUAUAUUUCUAUCAUUUAGCGCCGUUAUAUCACAUAUAACAGUAAAAUCCACUACCUGAUUUCCAGAAAACGUCGUUAAGGACAGUAAUUGUUUUGUUUAGAAAAGAUCAAUGCUUGAAUAAGUUUCUAGGAUUCGGAAGAUGCUUUUGGAUUGACAAAAAUUGAUCUUUAUAUGAUAAUAACUUAAUUUGAUAACAUUUUUGAUCUUGUGUAAUUUUUGUUGACUCUUUGCAUGACGUCUCUAUUAGUGGACACGUUAGAUUUUCUAUAUCAUAAACUCUCAAAAGUCGCUGUUUUUGAAUAAGUUGUGUCCAUUUAAACUUCUUAGUUUAAUUAUGUUGAUUUUAUAGCAAUUUUAGACAGUUUAUUUUGAAAGCGGUGAAUUAAUUCAAACUAUUUUUCUACUAACACUAGCUUAUGUUGAAAUGAUAUCUUCAUGUCAUUUGAAACAACAUCGUCUUAAUAAAUUGAAUGUAAAAUUAAUUUUGAAUAAUCAAAGCUGACUUAAACCUUUUUUAUGUUUUGCGUAUUGUAUUUUGUCUUUCUUUAAAUUCGGAAGAAACAAUGCCUAGAAUGUUUACAAUAUAUUUCAUUUUUUUUUUAUUUAAUGUAUUUUGCAAUCAUAGCAUUUGUUACAAAAAUAUAUUAUAUGCUUUAUUUUUAUGUGUACGUCACAAAAUUAAUGCUCUUCAUUUUUAAAAAUGCUGUUACGUGUAAUUGAAAUUUCUAUGUUAAAAUUGAUAGUCAAGUUAAAUAAAUUAUGCAUUAUAACAAGGGUCUUCAAAAUGUUUAAUUUUGAUUAAACAAUUACUCGUUUGCCUUUAAGAUUGAAAACUCUCUGAUUAUCAUCACCUUUAGGAUGUUAUACAAGCAAAAAACAAGCACAAUUUAACAUGUAGUUGUACAUGUACAAGUUUUUGUUAAAUAUAAAUUUAAUUAUUUCUAAGUUGCUAGGA